rnacentral:rRNA from 1 species
UACGUAGGGUGCAAGCGUUAAUCGGAAUUACUGGGCGUAAAGCGUGCGCAGGCGGUUGUGCAAGGCAGAUGUGAAAUCCCCGGGCUUAACCUGGGAACUGCAUUUGUGACUGCACGGCUAGAGUACGGCAGAGGGGGAUGGAAUUCCGCGUGUAGCAGUGAAAUGCGUAGAUAUGCGGAGGAACACCAAUGGCGAAGGCAGUCCCCUGGGCCUGUACUGACGCUCAUGCACGAAAGCGUGGGGAGCAAACAGG